GGGAAAAUCUUGAUCUUGAUUUAUCCUUCAGGAUUCGCAUAUUAUAUUUUUUUCGUAUUUUUAGUGCAAAGCAGUAGUAUUUUUAUAAAUUGUAAUCUUAGAAUAUUUUUYGAUAAGGUUUUUACGCUGUACGUACUCUCGUAGUCUGUAAUCCAGACUGCCCGGUGGUUGAAGCUGCUGAAUUUUUAUGACGCUGGAAACGAUUGCUUAUAAAUGUAUUACUCUUUUUGUCACGCAAKGACACAUCGUAUUUUCAAAAUAAAAUGAUUCACUGAAACUAACAUUGUAGUUUAUGAAGUCGAAGUCAAAUUAGAARAAAACAAGAUCCGUGCAGAAUCCAUUUCAGUCUAGAGGUUACUCCGUAGUUUUUUUYCUCUCUGUAAGGUCGCCGCGAAGCAACGACAACGAGCUGCGAAGCUAGCCGCGAGCCACGAGAAACAGUCGCUAACAAAUCUGAGGUCCACAUUCUUCAAUCAAACUGGAGUUUAGAAGUUGGUUAGUACGGAGGGAGAGAAACCUAAGAACCCAGAGAAAACCCUGCAAGAACAGAACGAACAGUAAACUAGAAGCAAUGCACGAGAUGAU